AACAAACGCUGGCGGCGUGCCUAAUACAUGCAAGUCGAACGGGGAAAGCUUUCGGGUGAGUACUAGUGGCGCACGGGUGAGUAACGCGUGGAUAAUCUGCCUUAGAGUGGGGGAUAACUAGUCGAAAGAUUAGCUAAUACCGCAUAAGACCCCAAGAGCUGCGGUUCAAGAGGUCAAAGGUUUUUCGCUCUAAGAUGAGUCCGCGUAAGAUUAGCUAGUUGGUGAGGUAACGGCUCACCAAGGCAACGAUCUUUAACUGGUCUGAGAGGAUGAUCAGUCACACUGGAACUGAUACACGGUUCAGACUCCUACGGGAGGCAGCAGUAGGGAAUAUGUCACAAUGGAGGAAACUCUGAUGCAGCGACGCCGCGUGAGUGAUGAAGGCCUUCGGGUCGUAAAGCUCUGUCGCAGGGGAAUAACACAAUGAAUGUACCCUGUAAGAGAGGAUCGGCUAACUUCGUGCCAGCAGCCGCAGUAACAC
rnacentral:rRNA from 1 species